rnacentral:snRNA from 2 species
GUGCCUUAAACUAAUGAGUAAGGAAAAUAUUGAGCCCUGGUAACGCUUGGCUCGGCUAUAAUAUAAUUAAUAGCUUUGAAUUUUUGAAGGGGUCGAGGUCGUCCUCUGGAGUGUCUGCCUACUUUAGCAGAUAUUCGAGUGAAGCGAUUUACCCC